UUUUAUGAGAGUUUGAUCCUGGCUCAGGACGAACGCUGGCGGCGUGCCUAAUACAUGCAAGUCGAACGCUUCUUUUUCCACCGGAGCUUGCUCCACCGGAAAAAGAGGAGUGGCGAACGGGUGAGUAACACGUGGGUAACCUGCCCAUCAGAAGGGGAUAACACUUGGAAACAGGUGCUAAUACCGUAUAACAAUCAAAACCGCAUGGUUUUGAUUUGAAAGGCGCUUUCGGGUGUCGCUGAUGGAUGGACCCGCGGUGCAUUAGCUAGUUGGUGAGGUAACGGCUCACCAAGGCCACGAUGCAUAGCCGACCUG
rnacentral:rRNA from 1 species